rnacentral:rRNA from 1 species
AGCGAACGUUAGCGGCAGGCCUAACACAUGCAAGUCGAGCGAGAAUAGGGCUUCGGCUCUUAGUAAAGCGGCGGACGGGUGCGUAACACGUAGAUAAUCUGCCUCUAGCGGGAACAACAGUCCGAAAGGAUUGCUAAUGCCGCAUGUCACUGCAGGGACUCCGGUCCUUGUUGGAAAAGGGGCCCGCAAGGGUCUCACUAGAGGAUGAGUCUGCGGCCCAUCAGCUUGUUGGCGGGGUAAUGGCCCACCAAGGCGAAGACGGGUAGCUGGUCUGAGAGGAUAACCAGCCACACUGGGACUGAGACACGGCCCAGACUCCUACGGGAGGCAGCAGUGGGGAAUAUUGGACAAUGGGCGCAAGCCUGAUCCAGCCAUGCCGCGUGAG